UGUGAUCCGGUGCCCGGUGUGUCGCCAAGAAUGCAGACAGAUAGACUUGGUCGAUAACUACUUUGUGAAGGAUUCCUCAGAAGGAACAAACAAUUCUGACGAGAAGUCACGUCAGGUAUGCACAAGCUGUGAAGAUAAUGCAGAAGCCAGUGGAUUUUGCGUGGAAUGUCUUGAAUGGCUCUGUAAGACAUGUGUUGAAGCCCACCAGAGAGUGAAAUUCACAAAGGAUCAUACAAUAAGGAGGAAAGAAGAUGUUUCACCAGAGGCUGUAGGAGCACCCAGUCAACGACCUGUGUUUUGUCCUAUACAUAAGCAAGAACAGUUGAAACUGUUUUGUGAAACAUGUGAUAAACUGACAUGUCGGGACUGCCAGUUAUUGGAACACAAAGAACA